rnacentral:lncRNA from 1 species
GCAGUAGUAGAGGCUAGACCUUGAGCUGAGUCAGACAGCAUCACUGUGUUGAAGCUAUGUCUGGUAGGAGCAGUAGUAGAGGCUAGACCUUGAGCUGAGUCAGGCAGCAUCACUGUGUUGAAGCUAUGUCUGGUAGGAGCAGUAGUAGAGGCUAGACCUUGAGCUGAGUCAGGCAGCAUCACUGUGUUGAAGCCAUGUCUGGUAGGAGCAGUAGUAGAGGUUAGACCUUGAGCUGAGUCAGGCAGCACCAUUAUCUUACCUUUGGUCACUGAGCAUUAGACUUUUGCAGUAGACCUUGUUGUCUGUGUGAGGCCUACCAAUUGUGAACUGCAACAUUGAGAGGGCCUUGUUUGGUUUGCGAAGACUUGUGCACUCACGCCUUCCUUCCCUUUCUUUUCAGUUAAGCCGGCACCUUUAGAAAUCAAGCCUCUGUCAGAGUGGGAGGAGCUGCAGGCCCCAGUCAGAUCCCCCAUCACCAGGAGCUUCGCUCGGGACUCCUCUAGGUUUCCCAUGUCCCCUCGGCCUGAUUCUGUGCACAGCACGACAUCGAGCAGUGACUCCCAUGACAGUGAAGAGAACUAUGUCCCCAUGA